AAAGACCUCAAACUUGGACCAUUGGCAGACUGCACCUUGGUAUGUCUUCUCCAUGGCUCUUAAGGAAGAGGACAUAAACUCCUUACAAGGUUUGAUGAAGCCUAUGGACCCUGUAUCAAAAUAAGUUUUGUGCUACAGAUAUUCCCAGCACAUCCAAUUUCAAGCUACCAACAUGAUGUCACCAAACGUGGAGUUGAAGAUGCGCACAAGCAGGUCUCAUGUGAUGGUUCGAGCCAGCUCCAGCACACCACUUACAUUGGGCUAGAAUUACUACAUCUCUGAACUAAUGACCUUCUGGAACAGUGCCCAGAACAUAGCAGCUCUACAGGUGAGCUGGACUUUGAUCCGAUGAGGUCUCUGCUGCGCUUGGAUCAAGGUCAUGGUUUGGGUCAGUUUCGUCCCAUGUGUUUCUUUUUCUUUGGAAAUCAGUAGGUGCCCCUGGGAAUAUUUUCCUCAUCGUGAUUGAAGAGUACAAAAGUGCUUUCCCAAAUGGACACACACAUUAAGAGCCUCUGCUGGCAUUACAUCCACCAACAUCCCAAUUGCUCGAAUCAAGCCAUCUCAAAGUCAAGGGUCAGGAAAAUAUACUUUAUUCACUAUGAGACUGUGGGAAGGGGCUGAAUGCAUUAACAUUACAGAGUAGUAGAACCAAUAAUUCAACUCAUCUCACCCCAGACUAGUAGAGUAAAACAAGGGUCAGUGGGCUAAAGCUUUAAAAAGAUUGAUUCUGGUAUGAUGUAAUAAAAAACUGGAUGAUCAUUGAAACUGUCUAAUAAUAGAUUCCAACCAGUGAAGUCUUUGUGCCAGAAGAGGUUAGACAGAGUCCAAGGGCUCACUUCCCAGGAGUGGCAUAGACAGCAUUCCAGUAUCAUUUAGAAGGUGAG